UUCCUGCUGGCUUAGACAGUAAAGAAUCUGCCUGUGAUGCAGGAGAUCUAGGUUUGAUCCUUGGGUGGGGAA
rnacentral:tRNA from 1 species